UAAGUUGGUCAAAAUUGUCACUAAUUUUAAUUUGAAGACUUACUCUUUGUUACCCAACACUUAAUUUUCUCGGGUUAGAGCUAAAAGGAUAUCUGUUCUAAUUCAAUAGGUUUCUGAUUGAUCAAUUGUAAUGGCGGAUCAAGGGAAGUGGAAAUUUGAAGAGGAAUCUAGUGUUAAUAUCAAGAGUUAUGCGGUAAAAGAGUAUGAUGAUUCGAAUACCGAGAGAAAUUGGGUAGAGUAGUGUGAUGAUUCUGAUCAUGAUAUAUAUGUUGGAAAAAGCAGGAUGAGCCUAGAAAUUUAGAAUGAGUAUAAGAGGCAGGUGGCUGAGAGUGAGGUUAGACUGGGAGAUAAGGCAAGAGCAAGAAAAAAAAUUAAAAUUAAGGGCAAAUAAUGGCUACCAAUGCAGUAUCUUCCACAUCUCAGCAACUAAUACCCAUCUUUAAUGGAGAUAAAUAUGAAUUCUGGAGCACAAAGAUGAAAACGUUCAAGUCUCAAGAAUUGUGGGAUUUGGUGGAGAAUGGCUAUGCUGAGGAAGAUGAAGCACAAAGGUUGCGGGAGAGAAAAAAGGACUCUAAGGCAUUGUUCUACAUCCAACAAGCUAUGCAUGACUCGGUUUUUUCCAGAAUUGCUGCUGCAAAAACUUCAAAGCAGGCAUGGGAUAUUCUGAAGAAAGAAUUCCAUGGCCCAACAAAGGUAAUGACUAUUAAACUCCAGUUAUUCCGAAGUGAUUUCAAAAAUUCAUUCAUGAAAAAUAGUGAAUCUAUACAACAACAACAAAAACAAUAACAAACCCAGUGUAUUCCCACAAAGUGGGGUCUGGGGAGGGUAAAAUAUAUGAAGUCCAUACCACUACCUCCAAAGAAGUGCAAUUGUUAAUCAAAUGAAGGUAUGAUGACAAAGAUACUGAUGAAACUGUAGUUUCUAAAGUUCUAAGAAGUCUUAAUAAAAGAUUUGAUCAUGUCAUAGCUAACAUUGAGGAAUCCCAUCAUUUAUCUGAUUAUGGUUUUGAUGAAUUGAUGAAUUCCUUACAAGCUCAUGAGGUUGGAUUGAAUGCCUCUCAAGAAAAAGGGGAAGAGAAGGCAUUUCAGAUCAAGGGAGAGUGUUCUUUCAAAGGCAAAUUAGAAGUCUCAAAUGCCAGAGGAUGCAGAGGCAGAGGUAGUUUUCGUGGUCGAGGUCGUGGCAGAGGAUGCGAUCAAUUUGGUGGUGAGCACCGACAGUUCAAGAGCAAUAUUUAGUGCUGCUAUUACAGAAAAAUGGGGAACAAGGAAGUUGAUUGCUGGACUAAAUAGAAGUAUGAACAACAAUAGGCAAAUUUUAUUGAGAAAUAACAAGAGGAAGGUAAUCUGUUCAUGGCUCACUCCUCAGUAGAUGUUGGUUCAGAUGAUGUUUGGAUCAUUGAUAGUGGUUGCUCCAACCACAUGUUUGGCAGAAGGUUGUUGUUCAAAGAUCUUGAUGAAUCAGAGAAGUCAGAAGUUUGGCUUGGGAAUGACAAGGCAAUGAAAGUCGAAGGGAAAGGUAUAAUUUCUCUAAAAACUUCUCAUGGUAAUGUAAAACUUCUCCAUGUUGUGCAGUGUGUUCCUUGUCUAGACCAUAACUUGUUGAGUGUUGGGCAACUGAUAACUUGUGGAUACUCCAUUCUGGUUGAUGACAAUUCUUUUAGAAUUCAAGAUAAAAAAAUAGGAUACAAAAUUGUUGACAUUCAAAUGACUCAAAAUGGAAUGUUUCCUCUUAAAGUUUCUGAUGUUAAAAGUUUUGCAUUAGUUACCAAAGAUAGUACCGAAACUAAUUUAUGGCAUUUGAGGUAUGGUCAUUUGAAUGUAAAGGGUUUGCAUUUAUUAGGUUGUAGAAAUAUGGUUCUAGGUUUGACUAGAAUUGAUGCACUUGAAUUCUGUGAAGGAUGUGUGUAUGGAAAACAAAAUAGAAAUUCAUUUCCUGUAGGCAAGUCUUGGAGAGCUUCUGGUUGUCUUGAACUAGUGCAUGCUGAUCUAUGGUCCUAUGAGUGUUGAGUCCUUAGGUGGAAGUCAAUAUUUUCUACUUUUUAUGGAUGAUUAUAGUCGAAUGAGUUGGGUAUAUUUCUUGAAGUUCAAAUCUGAAACAUUUGAGAAUUUCAAGAAAUAUAAGUUUUUUGUUGAGAAACAAAGUGGUUGUAGAAUCAAGACUCUUCGGUCAGAUAGAGGUGGUGAAUUUAUGUCAAAUGAAUUCAAUACUUUUUGUGAGGAAAAUGGUAUUCACAAAGACCUCACAACACCAUAUACACCAGAGCAGAAUGGUGUAGCCGAAUGAAAGAACCGAACGGUUGUUGAAAUAGGUAGAAGCAUGAUGCAAGCCAGAGGUGUACCAAAGUGUUUCUAGGGUAAAGCUAUUGCUACUGCUAUCUGCGUACUGAACAUUUCAACCACCAAGGUUGUUCUUAAUCAAAUACCAUAUGAAGCAUGGAGAGGUAACAAGCCAAAGCUAAGCCACUUACGUGUCUUUGGAUAUGCACAUCAUCAAGAUAUUGAUUGUGAUGAAACGUUUUCACCUGUUGCUCAUUUUGAAAUGAUUAGAAUACUCUUAUCUUUGGUUGCUAAAUUGAACUGGCCCAUUUAUCAAUUUGAUGUUAAAUCUUCAUUCCUAAAUGGGGAUUUGGAAGAGGAAGUUUAUGUUUCCCAACCUGAGGGUUUUGUUAUUAGUGGCAAUGAGAGCAAAGUUUACAAAUUCAAAAAGGCACUUUAUGGGCUAAAAUAAGCGCCGAGGGUAUAGUACAACAAAAUUAACUCGUACUUUCUGAGGUAUGGAUUUGAAAGAAGUGAAAAUGAGCCUACGCUGUAUGUAAAGAAACAAGGUAUGAGUAAUUUUUUGAUAGUUUAUCUCUAUGUGGAUGACAUGAUUUAUAUGGGAUCAUGUGAAACUUUAGUUGCUGAAGUAUUUUGCAAUACUUUCUUGGUCUUCAAGUGAAACAGGUAGACAAUGGGCUGUUUAUUUCUCAAAUGAAGCAGGCAAAAGACCUCUUGUUUAAGUUUGGUAUGCAUAACUGUAAAGUGGUUGCCACACCCAUGAAUGCAAAUGAAAAUUUUCAGCUUGAAGUGGCACAGAUCUUGCCUAUCCUAGUCACGACAGAAGAUUGAUUGGAGGUUUGAACUACCUAACACAUACUCGUCCUGAUAUCAUGUUUUCUGUGAGUAUAUUAUCUAGGUAUAUGCAUUGUCCUACCAAGCAACAUCUUGGUGCUGCCAAAAGAGUGUUGCGUUAUGUUUCUGGGACUGUUGACUUCAGGAUUUGGUACUCCAAUAUUGCAGAUUUCAGCUUGAUAGGGUACAGUGAUAGUGAUUGGGCAGGAAGUAUAGAUAACAUAAAGAGUACUUCUGGAAAUUUUUUCAGUUUAGGAUCUGGAGUGAUUUCUUGGAGUUUAAAGAAACAGGAUAUGGUUGCAUUAUCGUCAUCAAAAGCAGAGUAUGUUGCUGUAACUUCAGCAGCAUGUAAGGCCAUAUGGCUACGAAGAUUGUUGAUUGACAUUUUCUAUCGGCAGAAGGAUACAACAAAGAUAUUCUGUGAUAACAAAGCAACAAUUCCAAUGACAAAGAAUCCGGCUUUUCACAGCAAAACAAAGCAAAUUGACAUCUGUUAUCAUUUCAUUCAUGACUUGACAGUAAAAGGUGAUAUAGAGUUAAAUUUCUGCGGUACAAGGGAUCAAAUUGCAGAUGUCUUCACCAAGGCACUCGUUAUUUUGCCUUUUGUAAUUUGGGUUGCUUCUAUUUAUUAGAAUACAAGGUACGAGUUUGUCGAAAAUCUCACUGUGACCACAUCCCUUGCUGCUGGAUAUUGGUGUCAUAACACAUUUCUAGCCAGGGAUUCUGACGCUCCCAACAACGUAAAGUCCUUUCAAGCAUUGGGAUUCUGGGAAAUUUGUGGAGAAAGAAUUAUUAACUUUUGCAGGCUUAAGAAAGCAUCUAGUGGUCAAGGUGUUGAGUGCCCUCCCGAUUCCAGUGUUGAUGAGAAAGCUGCACAGUGAGCUUGCCAUCUCUUUAAGCUCAUGUUGAUCUUCUACUAUGGUAGUUUUUGUUGAAAAUGUAGCGUCAUUUACUUGUGUAUUUAUUAAGAGAUGGAAAAAAGUGUUGUGAUGUGUCUUCUACUCUCAUAGUUGUUUUAUCAAGGAAGUAGGUUUAUUUAUGUUAUUACUAAGACAAGAAAAAAGGUGUUUUGAUGUCGUCUUGAUUCUGUUGAUGUUUGAUGACGAAGCUUUUAUCGGAGUAAGUUGUUUCUAAAAAUCCUUUGUAGCAUGGUGUUGUUUCACUUUGAUCUAUGG